AGGGAGCUCUGAUCAACGAAUUCUUAAACCGUUCUUCCGGACAAUUGAAAGCUUUUGCUUUCUCUUAUCACUCGUUUGGUAAAUGGUUGGAAGGAUUUAAACAUGCAAGAACAAUCAUCUUCUCGGGAAUUGUGGCCACGAACCAAAACCAUCAAUCGGCACAUUAGUUGUCGCUUGCACAACAAGUAUUAUCGUAAUAAUUCAAGCAUAAUGUAUUACAUUACAUAUUACAUUAAAAUAAAAAAGUCAAUUGA